rnacentral:sRNA from 1 species
AAUAUAAUUUAAAAUAUAUUUAUAAGCAAAAUAUAGAUACAACAUACAUAUAAUAGUAUAUUAACAAUUAAACAUAAAU